AAAUAAUAUAAGCUAGUAAAAUUAUUUUUCAUGGUUUAUUAAAAAAAAAUAUACAUAUAACUUUUUAAUUUCUGAACCUCAACCCAACUUGCUUUGCAAUUGGACCAAAGUCAGUAGCUGCAUAUGUGAAUACUGCUUAGCGCAGCAUCUCCCUCUAUCUCUCUUACUCUGCUUCAAGCCCUAGAAAUCCCAGAAUCACAUCAUUAUCGAUCGGUUGCAGCUUUUUUAAAAUGAGUACUACCAAUACUUCGCCUCCACCAGAAGAUGCAUGGGUUCUUGCUUACCAAAAAUUGCUUCCUCAAUGGCGAUCGGUCACCCUCUCAUCUCACCAGUCAAGAAUACCAAUUUCAGUAUCUAGAGUUAAUCAAUUUGAUGCUGCAAGAUUAGACAUUGAAAUGUCAGCAAUGCUAAAAGAGCAAUUGGUCAAGGUCUUCUCUUUAAUGAAGCCAGGAAUGUUAUUUCAAUAUGAGCCAGAACUUGAUGCUUUCCUUGAGUUUCUUAUUUGGAGGUUCUCUAUUUGGGUAGAUAAGCCUACUCCAGGAAAUGCUCUGAUGAAUCUGAGGUAUAGAGAUGAUCAUGCAGUGGUACCACGAGAAAAAGGUAAGCAGGUCUGCUCUUUUGCUGCAUAUGCUGUUAUUUUAUGAGGCUGGCUCUAGUUUUAUGUGUUAAUCUUAGAUUAUUAUGUUUACAUUGAAUGCCUUUGCACUUGAUAGGUGCUCCUCUAGCAAAUUCAGUGGUUGUAGAUGACUUUCAUUGCUCUCAUGGACCUGUUUAAAUAGGCUUUUUAUGUGCUUGUGAAUAUGUUCUUCAUCUAAGCUAUGAUCACCCUUUUUGGGAAUCUUAUGGGCCUUUUAAAUUCACAUUCUUUAUGCUUUGAUAUGACUUAAUUUCUGUGAUUUCGUCAAUGGAACUUGUGUUUUCAAUAUAUUUAAAUCGAAGAUUCAUGUCAUUCUAACAUUCAAAAGGUUAAAAAGGCGUAAGGAUUGUAUCGGACUGGUUUGAAACUCUAGUUGAGCUGAGUAAGUUCAUGUACAAGUUCUUUGAUAAUUCACCAUUACAAUGAUACUUGGCACUUUUUAUCUGUUACCAGCUUGAACUAGUUGUCAUCUAACUUUUGCCUGGCACACUGUGUUUCCUACAGUCAGAACAGGUUUGGAAGGACCUGGACUUACUAUGGCUCAGAAACUUUGGUAUUGCAUUGCCACUGUUGGUGGUCAGUAUAUCUGGGCUCGCUUGCAGACAUUCUCUGCUUUUCGUAGAUGGGGUGAUUCUGAACAGAGGCCACUAGCACGGCGAGCAUGGAUUUUGAUACAACGUAUUGAGGGACUUUAUAAGGCUGCUUCAUUUGGCAACCUACUCAUAUUUCUUUUCACAGGAAGGUUUAGGAACCUUGUUGAAAGAGUCUUAAGAGCAAGGCUUGUCUACGGACACCCUAACAUGAACCGAGCUGUUAGCUUUGAGUACAUGAAUCGCCAAUUAGUGUGGAAUGAAUUUUCGGAGAUGCUGUUGUUGCUUCUUCCUCUUCUUAACUCAUCAUCUGUUAAAAACUUACUUAGCCCAUUUCCAAAGGACAAAUCCUCUAGUUCCACAGGAGACAAUGGUACUUGUCCUGUUUGCCAGGCAAUUCCAACCAUUCCAUUCCUCGCCCUGCCCUGUCAACACAGGUAAAUUAAUUAUUUUCCCCCUGUCCUCAAUUAUUUCAGCUUUUUGCAAGCUACAUCCAGCUUAGAUUCUAGACUGCAUACUGCAUUAUCGGUUCCUUUUUCUAUGGUGAUAAGGCCUAACUACACAUUCUUAAUCCUUGUAGCAUAUUGCCUUAUUUUUCUUUUUCCAGUUUUAUUUUUUAUGUGGCUUACUGGGUUGUAAAUAGCAGUGGCAAAAUCCUAAGCCCCAAUUAGUGCUCAUUUGCUCUUCUGUUUGGCUUUUAAGUUAUUUCAUGGUCUGUAACACUUCCUAAAGCAAUAUUUCCUAACACACCCUACGGCAAUCUUUCCAUUCUUUAAAUACUUUUCAAAUCUGGCUUCAGGCAUAAUGUUUUGCUUCAAGUCUUGACUUUUUCCUAUUGGCAGGUACUGCUACUACUGCCUUAGAACACAAUGUGCUGCAUCUCCAUCUUUCCGUUGUCCUAAAUGCAGUGAGCCAGUGAUAGCUAUGCAGCGGCAUGGUUUUUUAGCCAGUGAUACAAAAUCCUAAUCCUAGUCCACGAGUGAUAGAGCAGUAGGAAGAAGAUCAAUAUAAAGUGCUGUAAAAAAAA
rnacentral:misc_RNA from 1 species